rnacentral:rRNA from 1 species
AACGCUGGCGGCGUGCUUAACACAUGCAAGUCGAACGGAAAGGCCCUGCUUUUGUGGGGUGCUCGAGUGGCGAACGGGUGAGUAACACGUGAGUAACCUGCCCUUGACUUUGGGAUAACUUCAGGAAACUGGGGCUAAUACCGGAUAGGAGCCCCUGCUGCAUGGUGGGGGUUGGAAAGUUUCGGCGGUUGGGGAUGGACUCGCGGCUUAUCAGCUUGUUGGUGGGGUAGUGGCUUACCAAGGCUUUGACGGGUAGCCGGCCUGAGAGGGUGACCGGCCACAUUGGGACGGAGAUACGGCCCAGACUCCUACGGGAGGCAGCAGUGGGGAAUAUUGCACAAUGGGCGGAAGCCUGAUGCAGCAACGCCGCGUGCGGGAUGACGGCCUUCGGGUUGUAAACCGCUUUCGCCUGUGACGAAGCGUGAGUGACGGUAAUGGGUAAAGAAGCACCGGCUAACUACGUG